rnacentral:rRNA from 1 species
UACUUAGGAGGCGAGCGUUGUCCGGAAUUACUGGGCGUAAAGCGCGCGUAGGCGGCGCAGUACGACCGCUGUGAAAGCCCCCGGCUCAACUGGGGAGGGUCAGUGGUAACGGCUGUGCUGAUGAGUGCAGGAGAGGGACGUGGAACUCCGGGAGUAGCGGUGAAAUGCGUAGAGACCCGGAGGAACACCAGUGGCGAAGGCGGCG